rfam:Triticum aestivum genome assembly, contig: Triticum_aestivum_CS42_TGACv1_scaffold_473928_6AL
CAUAUACUCCCUCAGUCCGGAAAUACUUGUCUGAAAAAUGGAUGUAUUAGAACUAAAAUAUGACUAGAUACAUCCAUUGCUCCGACAUGUAUUUCCGGACGGAAGGAGUAUAUA